UUUAAUUUCCUAUGCCUGGCCUCCUAUGGGCAUGCCUUGGUGCACCUCGAUGAUGUGUCGCGCCUUUCUUCCCUUCGGGCGAUGCCUGCUGCACCUGAGGUGCACUUGAUAACAGUGGGGCUAGCAAUAAACCUUUGACUCCAAUAACAAAUAUGGGCAUGGUACUUUGGACUUGAUUGCCCUGCUUGACGAUAUGUCAAAAAAGGUACAUUGCGAAGCCCCCCUUAUGCAUUCUCGUAACACAUGCAAUUCCUUAUAGGAAAUAAGGUGUACCUCUAUCAUUAGCAACUGUUUUCAGUAUAAAUGGUGUCACAUGAUCCUAAUAGCUCAUAGGUUAAAUGUGUUUGGGUCGCAACAGCAUAAGAAUGGGCAACCUACCAAGAAGUUGUCAACUAGUAUCAAAACAGGUUGCAAGCUUUAAGUCCAAGGGUCAUUAUUGAGGGAGCAAUCACAAUGUGGGUAAGGUACUCUAGGGACUAAACACCCU
rnacentral:misc_RNA from 1 species